rnacentral:tRNA from 1 species
UUAAAAAUAAGCUAAA